rnacentral:lncRNA from 10 species
CUGGAGACCAGGUCAACCUGACCUAAAGUGCUGUUAAGCCCCGGGCUGUGGGGAGUUUCCAUGGAGCCGAUUCUCAAUUCUCACGAAGUCAACAGCUGGCACACUGCUGUCAUGCUGCAGUUCUCAGUAAAUAUUUGUUGAAUGAGUCAGCCACUGUCAGUUACAUGGGUCCGGGCAACUGAGGGGCUUGGCUCUGCUAUUUUCCUUCAAUGAUGACAAUCUCCUGCAGGAGAUGAGGCCAUCUUUUAUUCACAUAGUAAGAGCGGGAUUGGAAUAGAGAGAUGGGGAAUGAGACAGAGAGGAGGCCUGCCACCUCCAUUUGAGCAUCAUUGCUUGGGGAAAGGUGAGGCAAUGGACUCCAUCCCAGUCUGUUUUCUGCAGGAGCAGGUUCAAGGUAUUCUCCAAGAAGAGAGGUCCUUUUAAAGAAUGAGCAUCAAGCAUCCACUCUAAAAGGAAGAUGGAGAAAGCCAGUGCAAGGCCUGCCUGUUGGGCAUCAUGUGGAUUUGCCCUUGGCUCUUGUGUUCACUCGGAGCCCUCUGGUGUCCCGUUUCCAGCUGGGCUGUGCACGCACCCUGGGGAUUCAGUGGAAGAGGAGCAAUCUGAAUCCAGCAGUGCUGAGAAAACCCAAGAGCUACAUGGCCAGCAUUUCCCAUCAGAGAGCCAACAGGGCCCCUGGUUUUGCCUUCCCGCCCACCAGCCCUGGUUAAUGGAGCUUUUGUUCUGCCUGAUGCUGCCUUGCUAAUCAGGGUGUAUCAUAUGGGAGCUAUCAGGAGAGCGGGGCCUGCUUCACAAAGGAACACAGAGGUUGCCUUUAGAGUUGGCUACAAAACUUAGAGCUUGGUGAUGGCUCAGGCACAAAAGAGCUGGCUGUACUUGAGGCUGACUUCCAUUCUACCUGUGACUAUUACAUUCAAGGUAGUGAACGCUUGAAGCCUCUGGCAUCCUGAUCCCAUGAUUACUGCAGAGAAAAGAGGUAAAUCAAGAACUGCUUGGGGAACAGCAUCAUCAUCGGUUCUGGCAUGUGCAUCUAAGCAAGGCGUGCCUCUCAGGAAGGAUUUCACUCUUUGUUGUAACUGUAUCAUACCUUUUACAAAAAGUCACUUUGAGGUCACUUUUUUUUUGUCCAGUAUUUCAAUACAUUAAAUGCAAUUACUUCAUUGUUGAUUUACCUGUCAUUACAGGCAUGUGUUUGAACAUGAUUUAUUGAGUGAGUUUUGUGCCAGUUGACUUGCAAUAGAUUGCACAAUAUUCAAAGGGGCUCAUUUGCUUGGCAUUACAUUAGAGGCAUGAUGAUUGCAACACAAAGCAAUGUAAAUGAAUUCUGAGAGGCUCCAUCAUUCAUGUUGUCAUGUACUGAAUCCUAUUAUUAUUUAUUACCAUAAUUGUACUGUGUUUCCUGGGGCGAUAAAUUAGGACUGAUGGGCCCCACUGACAGUCAAGGGCUGGACUCGCUCUAUAUAAUUUAAUAGGGAUACUGUAGGGUCUGUGUGUUU